AUACACCUCAUCAUUGUCUUACAAAAAGAUUGGGGGUUAAAUUUGGGAAAAAAAUUGGUUUACGGUCCAUCGCCUGUUCCUCCCCUCUCCUUCUCUCCUCAGGGGUCUUUUCCUCUCCUCUCCUCUCCUCUCCUCGAUGACAACUCUUUCUAUUCUGUCAUCCUUUUCGUUCCUUUGUUAGCAGUGUUGCCACCGUCUCUUCCACUGGCAUGGCUACCGUUUGUCAACGUUGGUUUCCCCCGACUCUUCUUCAUCAGGCUUUGCUCUGAAAACCCACUUAAAAAACCUGAAGGAUAAUGCCAGAAAAUAACUUUGGAAUUGAUUAUUUCUGCUGAAGGCUUUAAAUGUGCCAAAAGGGGAGAGACAUUGAGAAAAGGAGCUGAAGAAUCCGAGGUAAAAUCCAAACAGUAGACAAACGCAUCGGUACCUGAGAUUUCGUCAAAGUUGAAAACCAAGGGAGAGACUGUGGUUUGAUAGUGAUGAUCUUGUUGAUCAGUAGGCUGUGUUCAUGGAAGCCACAAAAACUGAAAAGGUAAGUUUGAAAGAUCUGUGCUUUUAUGGAGAUGUGAGAUUAGUUCAUGCAUGAAUCUUAUCCACCAUCCAAUCCCUUCGAACCAGGAAAUGCAAUACAAUGGGAUUAUUAACCAAUUAGUUUGCUGACAUCAUUCUUGGGAGCUUUGAAACCCUUUCUAAGUUCCGACUCGCCGCCGACUUUAAACGAAAAUAAAAAAGUUGGAUACUACUGCCGUUUCUGGUUGUUCCUUUGUCUUCAAUAAUGUUUUCAUUGAUACCAGCCCCGACACCUACUUGGCCAUGAUCUUCUCCGACUCUGACACUGUUUCUGAUCUGAAAAAAAAGAUACCAUAUGAACACCCAUUGCGCCUUCUUAAUAUUGGGGAGAUAAAGAUUUAUGCCUUAAAGAGAUCUUGAUGAAAAUAUGAGGGAUGCACUCCAUAGUUUCAUUGAAGAACGACGGGUGAAUGAGAGUCUGCUUUAUUUUAUUUCAUUAUCAUUUUGAAUGUAUUCACAUUUUUACAAAUUAAUUUAAUUAAAUGUCAAUGAUAGACUCGUAACGAAUACUUUUUAAUUUAAUCAUUAAUAUUAUAAUUGUC